GACGAACGCUGGCGGCGUGCUUAACACAUGCAAGUCGAACGGAAAGGCCCUGCUUUUGUGGGGUGCUCGAGUGGCGAACGGGUGAGUAACACGUGAGUAACCUGCCCUUGACUUUGGGAUAACUUCAGGAAACUGGGGCUAAUACCGGAUAGGAGCUCCUGCUGCAUGGUGGGGGUUGGAAAGUUUCGGCGGUUGGGGAUGGACUCGCGGCUUAUCAGCUUGUUGGUGGGGUAGUGGCUUACCAAGGCUUUGACGGGUAGCCGGCCUGAGAGGGUGACCGGCCACAUUGGGACUGAGAUACGGCCCAGACUCCUACGGGAGGCAGCAGUGGGGAAUAUUGCACAAUGGGCGGAAGCCUGAUGCAGCAACGCCGCGUGCGGGAUGACGGCCUUCGGGUUGUAAACCGCUUUCGCCUGUGACGAAGCGUGAGUGACGGUAAUGGGUAAAGAAGCACCGGCUAACUACGUGCCAGCAGCCGCGGUGAUACGUAGGGUGCGAGCGUUGUCCGGAUUUAUUGGGCGUAAAGGGCUCGUAGGUGGUUGAUCGCGUCGGAAGUGUAAUCUUGGGGCUUAACCCUGAGCGUGCUUUCGAUACGGGUUGACUUGAGGAAGGUAGGGGAGAAUGGAAUUCCUGGUGGAGCGGUGGAAUGCGCAGAUAUCAGGAGGAACACCAGUGGCGAAGGCGGUUCUCUGGGCCUUUCCUGACGCUGAGGAGCGAAAGCGUGGGGAGCGAACAGGCUUAGAUACCCUGGUAGUCCACGCUGUAAACGGUGGGUACUAGGUGUGGGGUCCAUUCCACGGGUUCCGUGCCGUAGCUAGCGCUUUAAGUACCCCGCCUGGGGAGUACGGCCGCAAGGCUAAAACUCAAAGGAAUUGACGGGGCCCCGCACAAGCGGCGGAGCAUGCGGAUUAAUUCGAUGCAACGCGUAGAACCUUACCUGGGUUUGACAUAGAUCGGGAGCGCUCAGAGAUGGGUGUGCCUCUUUUGGGGUCGGUUCACAGGUGGUGCAUGGCUGUCGUCAGCUCGUGUCGUGAGAUGUUGGGUUAAGUCCCGCAACGAGCGCAACCCUUGUUCACUGUUGCCAGCACGUUAUGGUGGGGACUCAGUGGAGACCGCCGGGGUCAACUCGGAGGAAGGUGGGGAUGACGUCAAGUCAUCAUGCCCCUUAUGUCCAGGGCUUCACGCAUGCUACAAUGGCUGGUACAGAGAGUGGCGAGCCUGUGAGGGUGAGCGAAUCUCGGAAAGCCGGUCUCAGUUCGGAUUGGGGUCUGCAACUCGACCCCAUGAAGUCGGAGUCGCUAGUAAUCGCAGAUCAGCAACGCUGCGGUGAAUACGUUCCCGGGGCU
rnacentral:rRNA from 1 species